AUCAAAAAGAAAAUGGAUUACGUACCUCAAAAAGUUGUCGAAGACAAAGAGUAUAUAUAGAUAGCCUCAUCUAUACUAUUAAUUGGGAAUCAUUCUAACUUAAAUAACCUUAUAAAAUGUAAAAAAUUAUUAAAAUUGCCAUUGGAAAAUUUACAACCUACGAUUACAUUACAGAUUUUGUCAAAGGGCAUAAUAGAUAAUUUGCAGACAAUUACACGCGGAUCUACAUUCGGAUCUUGGAGCCAUGAUUCGGAUCCAAUAAAUUCAGCUUGCUGGGCUUAGUCGACAUGGCCCAAUAAAUUUCUCUCGCUUUUAGUACUCACAUCUGCAUUAAUUCAAAUUACCACAAUUAGUUUCGUGCAUAGCAAAAUAUUUCCCUAACAAACAAACAUAUAUAUUCUCCUCUUCACCGAUAUUUCCACAACAACUCAAUCCCAUAUAAUCAGAUGAUUAAAACUAAACUUGCAAAAUAUUUCCCUAACAAACAAACAUAUAUAUUCUCCUCUUCACCGAUAUUUCCACAACAACUCAAUCCCAUAUAAUCAUAUGAUUAAAACUAAACUUAUCUCUUUAUAUUUGAUAUCCUUGAUACCAAAAACUACAAACUCUAUCUAUUCAUAUCGGAAUAAAUUAAGCAUAUACCAUAACUAUUUUUAUUCUCAAAUAUUUUCUUAGGCGAUAAUUCUCUAAAUCCUAAGCAACCCUAAACGUCUUCUAUCUAUUAUAAAUAUAGAAAUUAAACAACAUUCUCAAUACUCAAUAACCUAUCAAACCACCUCUAUACCAAAUAAAAAAUGGCUCUUUCCAUCACCGAACUGAAUGCAGUGAAACCAUUCAAAACUCAAUGGAAGAUCCAAGUGAAAAUCGUCCAUUCGUGGAUUCAAUACACCCAAUAUUCUGGGGAGACUCUCGAGAUGGUUCUUGCUGAUACAACUGUAAGUAUCUUUUUACCAAUAGUAUAGAUUUACUCUUUUAAUGGGUAUGUAUUCAUCUAAUGUUAAAUUCUCCUAAUUUGCUAAAUACAGGGUACCUUGAUUCAUGCAACUAUCAAGAAACAGCAAGUCAACAAAUUUCAAAGGCUCAUCACAACUGGAGAGUGGAGAACUGUGGAAAAUUUCACAGUUGCAAAAUCUACUGGAAAGUACCGGCCAACCAGACUUCCAUUCAAGAUGACCCUCAUGAAUACGACUGCUAUAAGUCGUAUUCCUUCUAUUUCUGAGGAGUUUUACUUUGAUUUUGCUAACUUUCCAGACAUUCUGAAUGUUAAUGGAUUGAAUGAAAACAUCUUGAUUGGUAUUUUUCAUUCCUCCUAAUUCUGUAUAUAGUGUUUAAAGCAAAAAAAUAGCAAUCUAACACCAUUUCAUAUAUUCUACAGAUGUUCUUGGUCAGGUCGUGAGUUUAGGUGAGAUGACAACUCACGAUGUCAACAACAAAGCCACCAAAAGAUUUGAGUUUGAACUGCGUGAUACAAAGUUUGUGAUCUAUUUACUCUAUUAUUUUUUUCAAACAACUGUCUAUUUUUUAAUACAAAAUCUAUCAUUUAUCUAUUAUAGUGAUGAACGCUUGACAUGUACUCUUUGGGGGAGGUUUGCUGAGAGAAUGUGGGAUGCAUGUCAAAAUGGAGGCAAUGAAAGGGUCAUUUGUUUGAUUCGCCUUGCUAAAAUUGGUUCAUUCAAAGGUAUAUUGUUUUGGAUUAUUUACAUUUGGAUGCUUAAUAUGUUUAUUACAUUAUUAGAUAUUACUAAUAUAUUGCAAAUUCAAUAGGCGAAAGAUCUAUUUCAAAUGCCUUUGACAUGUCUUUGUUGGAAAUAAAUCCAAACUAUCCUGUUGUCCAAGAUUUUGUGAACAAGUAAGUUUCUGAAAAAACUUAAAAUAUACCUAAUAUUUGCUUUACUAACGUAUUUACUUAUAUUAAUUCUCUUAUCUUACAUUGAACAGCUUGCCAGCAGACGUCCCUGUACUUACUAUUCAAGAAGUGAUGCCUAAGGAUACCAAAAUCAUUAAGAAGAAGGCAUAUUUUCAGACUUUUCCCAGGAAAACCAUUUCUGAAGUUUUUGAAGCCACUGAAGUAAGUAUUUAUCAUAGAUUUUGAAAUCAAAUCUAUAUAUUUAAAUAUAAAGACUAAUAUGUUUCUACUAUGUGUCUAGGUUGGUAAGUGCAAUGUUAUUUGUACUAUCUUGAAAGUGGACACAGACUAUGCUUGGUAUUUCUUUAGCUGUCUUAAGUGUAGCAAGACAGCGUAUAAGAUACCAAAAAUUGAAAAUGAGAUUGUCAAAAAAGGGAAGAAGCCAUUGUUUUGGUGUCCAACAUGUAAAGAAGAUACUCCUAAGGUCUUACCAAGGUAACUACAAUAUUUAUAUUCUUUGGAUACACGAUAUUUUAUAAGAAACUUUCUAACUCCUUUAUAUUAAAAUUUUGUGAUAUAGGUACAUGUUAAACCUUGCAGUGAUGGAUAACACUAGAAAUACUAUGUGUAAGUUGUUUGACAAAACAGCAGCUGAGAUCAUCGGAGUGUCUGCAGAGGAUCUUUUGGAAGGGAAUUGGGAUGAGGUAGUAACAUUUUACAUUAAGUUAUUAUCAAAAGAAGUUUAAAUUAUAAUUCCUAAAUAUUGAUUUUACCAUGCUUGACAUAACAGAUAAAAGAUCCAACUAAUUUGCCUGGACCUGUUAAAGAUUUGGUUGGGAAGACUUUCCAGUUUGUGCUCAGUAUUGGAAAGGAGAACAUCAAUGAAACAGAUGACACAUACAAGGUGUUUAACGUCUGGUUGGGUAAUGAUUUAUACGAUCUUGAUAAUGUUGAAGAAUCCGAGAACCAGAUUGAUCAAGCUAAUGAUCUGUCUAUUGAUCAGGUAAUUUAAACAAUUGGUGCACCCAAACAAGUUCUAUCAAAUACUUAUUCAACUAUAUCACUAAAGGGCAGGAUCUUAUUCAAAGAUUAGUGAGUACCACCUAUUGUUUUCUAAUAUCAAAUAGUGUACUGGAAAUUUUUAAGACUGUUGGCAUCAAAUCUCUUAUAUACAACUUUCACUAAUAUAUAGAUGGUCACUGGUUUGAAACAGGAAGCUCUUGCUUUGACUAAUAGCAGUGACACAACAGAUGUAAACACUACUUCUUCUGCAACUCCUUCUUCAAAAAGAAGUAAUGAAAGUUCUGACGAAGCUGAAGGGCAGUCUUCUACUACCAAAAAGGUUUGUGUAUCUUCAAUUCGUGAGAAGAUUGAAGAGGAUAAGAUUGAAGAGGAGAAGAUUGAAAAGCAGAAGAUUGGAGUAUUGAAGAUUGAAGAGGAGAAGGUGGAAGGGGAGAAAAUUGAACCUAAUUAGAUUUAGGGAGCUAUGCUAAAGUGUUGCGGGUUUGAUGCAUGGAAGUUGUUCUAUUUCAAUGGUUUUUAUGUUUUUCCUCAUUCCAGAAUUAUUCAGUUAUUUUGAUUCAUGUUUGCUACUCCAGCUAUUUUCAUUUCAAUAAAAACUUCCAGAUUUAGAGUUUACUAACCUCUUGAAAGAUCUUUCUCAUACAUGAAUAAGGUCCACUUCCAAGCAAUUUCUACCUUCAGUAAUCCUGG
rnacentral:lncRNA from 1 species